rfam:Triticum urartu cultivar G1812 contig608235, whole genome shotgun sequence.
CCAUUGCUCAGUUGGUAAAGCACAAGGCUCUUGACCUUGUGGACGCGGGUUUAAGCCCCAUGAUGGG